UACGGGGGGGGCAAGCGUUGUUCGGAAUUACUGGGCGUAAAGGGCUCGUAGGUGGCCAACUAAGUCGGACGUGAAAUCCCUCGGCUUAACCGGGGAACUGCGUCUGAUACUGGAUGGCUUGAGUUCGGGAGAGGGAUGCGGGAAUUCCAGGUGUAGCGGUGAAAAUGCGUAGAUAUCUGGAGGAACACCGGUGGCGAAGGCGGCAUCCUGGACCGACACUGACGCUGAGGAGCGAAAGCCAGGGGAGCAAACGGGG
rnacentral:rRNA from 1 species